rnacentral:rRNA from 1 species
CCUACGGGAGGCAGCAGUGGGGAAUAUUGCACAAUGGGCGCAAGCCUGAUGCAGCGACGCCGCGUGAGGGAUGACGGCCUUCGGGUUGUAAACCUCUUUCAGUAGGGAAGAAGCGAAAGUGACGGUACCUGCAGAAGAAGCGCCGGCUAACUACGUGCCAGCAGCCGCGGUAAUACGUAGGGCGCAAGCGUUAUCCGGAAUUAUUGGGCGUAAAGAGCUCGUAGGCGGUUUGUCGCGUCUGCCGUGAAAGUCCGGGGCUCAACUCCGGAUCUGCGGUGGGUACGGGCAGACUAGAGUGAUGUAGGGGAGACUGGAAUUCCUGGUGUAGCGGUGAAAUGCGCAGAUAUCAGGAGGAACACCGAUGGCGAAGGCAGGUCUCUGGGCAUUAACUGACGCUGAGGAGCGAAAGCAUGGGGAGCGAACAGGAUUAGAUACCCUGGUAGUCCAUGCCGUAAACGUUGGGCACUAGGUGUGGGGGACAUUCCACGUUUUCCGCGCCGUAGCUAACGCAUUAAGUGCCCCGCCUGGGGAGUACGGCCGCAAGGCUAAAACGUUAAAUGAAUUGACGG